rnacentral:RNase_P_RNA from 2 species
GGCAGAGAGAGCCCAGUUCCCGUGCCCGAUUGCGGGCAUGAGGAAAGUCCCCCCACCGUCUGAACAGGUGACCGGGCGCAAGCCCGGAGUCGGAGACGGCUGGCGCUGGAACAGAAACGAGACCACUCGACCCGACCGAUGAUGCGCGCGAACCGACCCGUAAGGGGAGGGAGUUAACCCGCAGAGGGAAGCGCGGUCACAUCGUGACCGCGGUUGGUGAACGGUCACCCGUGAGCCGCGAGAUGGCAUCGCCAUUUCCGACGGUCGAGAACGGAUGGAACGGCGAAUCCUCACCGGUGCAAGUCCGCGCCGCGAAGGUAGUUCGGACGGCGCGUCGGGUUCGCCCGUCGUGCCCCCGGGGUUCCCCGGGAAGGACGCGGACGCUAAGCCGAAUGCUGGGACGAACAGAAGGGGGCUUACUCCUCUCAGCC